rnacentral:ncRNA from 1 species
AAGGUUUGGUCCUAGCCUUGAACUCAGUUCUUACUUAAUAUACACAUGCAAGUCUCCGCAUCCCUGUGAAAACGCCCUCAUCUUCCCCACUAGGGAACAGGAGCUGGUAUCAGGCACAACUUUUUUGCCCAUAACACCUAGCCUCGCCACACCCACAAGGGAAUUCAGCAGUGAUAAACAUUGAGCAUAAGCGCUAGCUUGACUCAGUUAAAUUAAACAGAGCCGGCCAAUCUGGUGCCAGCCGCCGCGGUUACACCACUGUGGCUCAAAUUGAUUUCUUUCGGCGUAAAGCGUGAUUAAAGCCUAAAAUUUUUUGGAAUUAAACUGAAACUAAGCUGUGACACGCUUGUUACUCAAGAAGCCCAAAAACGAAAGUUAUUCCAAUUUUUUCAACUUGAAUUCACGACAACUAGGAAACAAACUGGGAUUAGAUACCCCACUAUGCCUAGUCGUAAACUUUAACCUACCCCCCCCCCUUCAUCGCCCGGGAACUACGAGCUAAGCUUAAAACCCAAAGGACUUGACGGUACCCCAUAUCCCCCUAGAGGAGCCUGUCCUAUAAUCGAUAACCCCCGUUUAACCUCACCAUUUUUUGCCAGUCAGCCUGUAUACCUCCGUCGUCAGCUUACCACGUGAGCGUCAGUGAGCCUAAUGUUCUUCCAACUACACGUCAGGUCAAGGUGCAACAUAUAAAAUGGGAAGAGAUGGGCUACACUUUCUACGAUAGAAUAAACGAAAGACUAAAUGAAACCCAGUCAGAAGGUGGAUUUAGCAGUAAAAUGAAACUAGAGUGUUCACUUAAAUACGGCACUGGGGUGUGUACACACCGCCCGUCACCCUCCUCAUCUCUUCAUAAAAGUUUUUAACACCUUUCCAGAGACUCAGAAGAGGCAAGUCGUAACACGGUAAGUAUACCGGAAGGUGUGCUUGGAAC